rnacentral:rRNA from 1 species
UGCGUAGGCGGGUCUUUAAGUCAGGGGUGAAAUCCUGGAGCUCAACUCCAGAACUGCCUUUGAUACUGAGGGUCUUGAGUUCGGGAGAGGUGAGUGGAACUGCGAGUGUAGAGGUGAAAUUCGUAGAUAUUCGCAAGAACACCAGUGGCGAAGGCGGCUCACUGGCCCGAUACUGACGCUGAGGCACGAAAGCGUGGGAGCAAACA